rnacentral:rRNA from 1 species
GACGAACGCUGGCGGCAUGCCUAACACAUGCAAGUCGAACGGGGGUAGCAAUACCCUAGUGGCGGACGGGUGAGGAAUACGUAGGAAUUUGCCCUUAAGUGGGGGAUAGCCCGGGGAAACCCGGAUUAAUACCGCAUGACCUCGUGAGAGCAAAGCAGGGGAUCGCAAGACCUUGCGCUUUUGGAGAAGCCUACGUCGGAUUAGCUAGUUGGUAGGGUAAUGGCCUACCAAGGCAACGAUCCGUAACUGGUCUGAGAGGAUGAUCAGUCACACCGGAACUGAGACACGGUCCGGACUCCUACGGGAGGCAGCAGUGGGGAAUAUUGGACAAUGGGCGAAAGCCUGAUCCAGCAAUGCCGCGUGUGUGAAGAAGGCCUUCGGGUUGUAAAGCACUUUAGGUUGGGAAGAAAAAACUCGGGCUAAUACCCUGAGUCUUGACGGUACCGACAGAAUAAGCACCGGCUAACUCUGUGCCAGCAGCCGCUGUAACAC